GACGAACCGUGCGAACGUUAUUCGGAAUUAUUGGGCGUAAAGGGUGCGUAGGCGGUUUGGUAAGUCUGAUGUGAAAUCUAUGGGCUCAACUCAUAGUCUGCAUCGGAAACUGCCGGGCUUGAGUAUGGGAGAGGUGAGUGGAAUUCCUGGUGUAGCGGUGAAAUGCGCAGAUAUCAGGAGGAACACCGGUGGCGAAGGCGGGUCUCUGGGCAGUAACUGACGCUGAGGAGCGAAAGCGUGGGGAGCGAACAGG
rnacentral:rRNA from 1 species